AGGCCAUGUCAAUCGAAUAUCUCAUGGUCUGCAAGGAGUUUCUGCAGUGCCACUGAGAACUUAUGCAGAUUAACCAAUUGAUGCUGAUGUAACAGUGAUAGGUUCUGGUCCUGGAGGAUAUGUUGCUGCUAUUAAAGCUGCCCAGUUAGGCUUCAAGGCAGUCUGCGUUGAGAAAAAUGAAACACUCGGUGGAACAUGUUUGAACGUUGGUUGUAUUCCUUCUAAGGCUUUAUUGAAUAACUCUCAUUGUUACCAUAUGGCCCAUGGAAAAGAUUUUGCAUCUAGAGGAAUUGAAAUGUCUGAAGUUCGCUUGAAUUUAGAGAAGAUGAUGGAGCAGAAGGGUAAUGCAGUAAAAGCUUUAACGGGUGGAAUUGCCCACUUAUUCAAACAGAAUAAGGUUGCUCAUGUAAAUGGAUAUGGAAAGAUAACUGGGAAAAAUCAGGUCACCGCUAUGAAAGCCGAUGGCAGCACUCAAGUUAUUGAUACAAAGAACAUUCUUAUAGCCACAGGUUCAAAAGUCACUCCUUUUCCUGGAAUUACGAUUGAUGAAGAUACAGUAGUGUCAUCUACAGGUGCUUUGUCUUUAAAAAAAGUUCCAGAAAAGAUGGUUGUCAUUGGUGCAGGAGUAAUAGGUGUAGAAUUGGGCUCAGUUUGGCAAAGACUUGGUGCAGAUGUGACAGCAGUUGAGUUUUGGGGUCAUGUUGGUGGAAUUGGAAUUGAUAUGGAGAUAUCUAAAAACUUUCAACGCAUCCUUCACAAACAAGGAUUUAAAUUUAAAUUGAAUACCAAAUUUACUGGUGCUACUAAGAAGUCAGAUGGAAAAAUUGAUGUUUCUAUUGAAGCUGCUUCUGGUGAUAAAGCUGAAGUUAUCACUUGUGAUGUACUCCUGGUUUGCAUUGGCCGACGACCCUUUACUAAGAAUUUGGGACUAGAGGAGCUUGGAAUUGAGCUGGAUCCUAGAGGUAGAAUUCCAGUAAAUACCAGAUUCCAAACUAAAAUUCCAAAUAUCUAUGCAAUCGGUGAUGUGGUUGCUGGUCCAAUGCUGGCUCACAAAGCAGAGGAUGAAGGCUUUAUCUGUGUUGAAGGGAUGGCUGGUGGCGCUGUGCGCAUUGACUACGAUUGUGUACCAUUGGUGAUUUACACACACCCUGAAGUUGCUUGGGUUGGCAAAUCAGAAGAGCAGUUGAAAGAAGAGGGUAUUGAGUACAAAGUUGGGAAAUUCCCAUUUGCUGCUAACAGCAGAGCUAAGACAAACGCUGACACAGAUGGUAUGGUGAAGAUACGUGGGCAGAAAUCAACAGACAGAGUAUUGGGAGCACGUAUUCUAGGACCAGGUGCUGGUGAAAUAAUAAAUGGAGCUGCUCUUGCACUGGAAUAUGGAGCAUCCUGUGAAGAUAUAGCUAGAGUCUGUCAUGCACAUCCGACCUUAUCAGAAGCUUUUAGAGAAGCAAACCUGGCUGCAUCAUUUGGCAAAUCGAUCAACUUUUAAAUUAGAAGAUUAUAUUUUUCUGAAAUUUCCUGGGAGCUUUUA